rnacentral:rRNA from 1 species
UACGGAGGAUGCAAGCGUUAUCCGGAAUUAUUGGGCGUAAAGCGUCCGCAGGUGGCACAUCAAGUCUGCUGUCAAAGACCGGGGCUUAACCCUGGAAAGGCAGUGGAAACUGAAGUGCUAGAGUGCAGGAGGGGUAGAGGGAAUUCCCGGUGUAGCGGUGAAAUGCGUAGAUAUCGGGAAGAACAUCGGUGGCGAAGGCGCUCUACUGGACUGCAACUGACACUCACAGGACGAAAGCUAGGGGAGCGAAUGGG